GGAUAGCGCUUGCUUUUGAUACAUAGCCUAUUCCACAUAGAAUUUUUAGAGCUACCCGCAGCAAGGUUUUUAUCUCCAAAAAGCCAUUUUGCAACCAGUUAAAGGUACACAGAGUCGCCUGUUUUGAAACACUUUAUCCUUCGUAAAACACUCAAGCUUCAGUGUAUCAAUAUGCAACUCAAGAAUAAAAUGAGUCUCUCAGAGGGGGAAAAGAUGGUAUUUCUAGCUAAAGAGAGACGCGGC